rnacentral:rRNA from 1 species
CAGUCGCCGCUGGAAUACGAAGGGUGCAAGCGUUAAUCGGAAUUACUGGGCGUAAAGCGUGCGUAGGCGGUUUGUUAAGUCUGCUGUGAAAUCCCCGGGCUCAACCUGGGAAUGGCAGUGGAUACUGGCAAGCUAGAGUGUGUCAGAGGAUGGUGGAAUUCCCGGUGUAGCGGUGAAAUGCGUAGAGAUCGGGAGGAACAUCAGUGGCGAAGGCGGCCAUCUGGGACAACACUGACGCUGAGGCACGAAAGCGUGGGGAGCAAACAGGAUUAGAUACCCCCGUAGUCCCUGUCUCUUAACA